rnacentral:misc_RNA from 1 species
UACAGAGGGUGCAAGCGUUAAUCGGAAUUAUUGGGCGUAAAGGGCGCGUAGGCGGAUAAUUAAGUUAGAUGUGAAAUACCCGGGCUUAACCUGGGGGUUGCAUAUAAUACUGGUUAUCUAGAGUAGAGUAGAGGGAAGUGGAAUUUCCGGUGUAGCGGUGAAAUGCGUAGAUAUCGGAAAGAACACCAGUGGCGAAGGCGGCUUCCUGGACUCAUACUGACGUUGAGGCGCGAAAGCGUGGGUAGCAAACAGG